rnacentral:rRNA from 1 species
UUGGAGGGCAAGUCUGGUGCCAGCAGCCGCGGUAAUUCCAGCUCCAAUAGCGUAUAUUAAAGUUGUUGCAGUUAAAAAGCUCGUAGUUGAACUUCGGAAUUUAUUCAUUGGUCAGGCUUAACUGUCUGUACUGGUGUAUUGAAUUCCUACCUUCUGAGGAAUCAUCAUGUCAUUAACUUGGUGUGGUGGGGAAUCAGGACUGUUACUUUGAAAAAUUAGAGUGUUUAAAGCAGGCUAACGUCUGAAUACAUUAGCAUGGAAUAAUAGAAUAGGACGGUUUGGUUCUAUUUUGUUGGUUUCUAGGAUCACCGUAAUGAUUAAUAGGGAUAGUUGGGGGCAUUAGUAUUCAAUUGUCAGAGGUGAAAUUCUUGGAUUUAUUGAAGACUAACUACUGCGAAAGCAUUUGCCAAGGAUGUUUUCAUUAAUCAAGAACGAAAGUUAGGGGAUCGAAGACGAUCAGAUACCGUCGUAGUCUUAACCAUAAACUAUGCCGACUAGGGAUCGGACGAAGUUAAUUUUAAAUGACUCGUUCGGCG